rnacentral:rRNA from 1 species
GCAUAUCAAUAAGCGGAGGAAAAGAAACUAACAAGGAUUCCCCUAGUAACGGCGAGCGAAGCGGGAAGAGCUCAAAUUUGAAAUCUGGUGGCCUCAGGUCAUCCGAGUUGUAAUCUAUAGAAGUGUUUUCCGUGCUGGCCCAUGUACAAGUCCCUUGGAACAGGGCGUCAUAGAGGGUGAGAAUCCCGUCCUUGACAUGGACUACCAGUGCUCUGUGAUACACUUUCAACGAGUCGAGUUGUUUGGGAAUGCAGCUCAAAAUGGGUGGUAAAUUCCAUCUAAAGCUAAAUAUUGGCGAGAGACCGAUAGCGAACAAGUACCGUGAGGGAAAGAUGAAAAGCACUUUGGAAAGAGAGUUAAACAGUAUGUGAAAUUGUUGAAAGGGAAACGAUUGAAGUCAGUCGUGCUCAAUGGACUCAGCCGUUCUGCGGUGUAUUUCCAUUGGGUGGGGUCAACAUCAGUUUUGAUCGCUGGAUAAAGGCAGGAGGAAUGUAGCACCCCCGGGUGAACUUAUAGCCUCUUGUCACAUACAGUGGUUGGGACUGAGGAACGCAGCAUGCCUUUAUGGCCGGGAUUCGUCCACGUACAUGCUUAGGAUGUUGACAUAAUGGCUUUAAACGACCCGUCUUGAAACACGGACC